AUAAAGACACUCAGAAUUAUUUCCAACAGAUCACUCUCAAUCAGAUAUCUCAGUCACCAAAUACCAUCAAAAUGAACAAGUCUAUCCUCCUUGUCCUGCUCCCAUGCCUUGUUGCUUUCGUCAUGGCCCAGCAAUACGGAUACCAAUCCGGAUACCAAUCAGGAUACCCAGCUUACUACCACAAUCAAUAUAAUGCCUACAGACAACAGACCGGACUGUACAACUAUGGAAACGCUGCCACAGCUCAACUCCAAGGAGCAAAACUUCUUAACUAUUUGUUCGGAUUCUUGCUUCUCCUGGACCUCACUAACGCUACAGGAAAUUCUUUGAACAACUUAGGUUAAAAUAUAUCAUGAUCACUACAUAUUCAGCUUAAGCUUAGAUGUUACUUGAGAAUAACUUCAGUUGCCAGCUCGACCUGCAUAUCCGGAAAAUACGACGUUUCCCGGUUCCAAUUUUGUGUUUUCGCAAGUGUAAAGAACAAUUGUUUUACUGAAUAUUUAAUGUGUCAAAACCGAUGUGCAGUAGUUUAUGUUAACAAUUUGUACACUAUAUGUUUAUAAAUACCAUAAUAAAAAUGUGAAUGAAUGA